rnacentral:lncRNA from 1 species
CUGCACACCUUAACAUGGUGAAUUUUAUGGUACGUAAAUUACAUCUCAAUAACAUUUAAAAAAAAAAAAAAAAGCAGCAGCAGAUGGCUGCUGGAGGAGGCUGAGCUUAAAUACCCCUGGUUACACUUCCUCCUUUCCUUGUAUUUACUGGAAGGAGAAGGAUUUGUCCUAAGAUGAAUAGUUUUUUCAUCUUCAGAAAUUCCUGACAAGCUACUACCCUGUCAAGGCAUGAAAAAUUUCAUUAGUGCUGACUUGGUACACAGUCUAUUAAUUAGUACCUAAAUAAUUGCAUGUUGCCUCUGUGUCAUGAUUUAUAAUUGUAUGCAUGCUUUGAUCUUUCUCAUCACAGGCAGCACUGAGAAGUGAAGGAAUAUUUGGGAGGAUCAGAAGCUUGGUCCUGAUUUUGCCAUCAACAGGAACUUGAUGACUUCAAGGGAGUCCCCAAACCCUGGGUUUCUGUUUUCUCAACUCUAACAUGAGGGGCUAGAUGCAUCUGGUUUAGUUAGUCUCCAUGAUGGUUUAGUUCGUCUCCAUGAUCCUGUGAAUUUCAGAUGUUGAAAAUCUUCGGAAAAGCCCUGAAAGAUGAACAGUGGUCUCAAAUAGUCAAGACCCCCUGCUGGGAGGAGCUUCUAUCCUGCUCUGUGGAAGAAAUGGGCAUGCCAGAUGCCUG